rnacentral:rRNA from 1 species
CCUACGGGCUGCAGCAGUAGGGAAGCUGCGGCAAUGGACGAAAGUCUGACCGAGCAACGCCGCGUGAGUGAAGAAGGUUUUCGGAUCGUAAAACUCUGUUGUUAGAGAAGAACAAGUAGGAGAGUAACUGCUCUUACCUUGACGGUAUCUAACCAGAAAGCCACGGCUAACUACGUGCCAGCAGCCGCGGUAAUACGUAGGUGGCAAGCGUUGUCCGGAUUUAUUGGGCGUAAAGCGAGCGCAGGCGGUCUUCUAAGUCUGAUGUGAAAGCCCUCGGCUCAACCGAGGAAGGUCAUUGGAAACUGGAGGACUUGAGUGCAGAAGAGGAGAGUGGAAUUCCAUGUGUAGCGGUGAGAUGCGUAGAUAUAUGGAGGAACACCAGUGGCGAAGGCGACUCUCUGGUCUGUAACUGACGCUGAGGCUCGGAAGCGUGGGGAGCAAACAGGAUUAGAUACCCCGGUAGUC